rnacentral:rRNA from 1 species
ACGAACGCUGGCGGCGUGCUUAACACAUGCAAGUCGCGCGGAAAGGCCCUUCGGGGUACUCGAGCGGCGAACGGGUGAGUAACACGUGAGUAACCUGCCCCAGACUUUGGGAUAACCCUCGGAAACGGGGGCUAAUACCGGAUACGACACAGCUUCGCAUGGGGUCUGUGUGGAAAGUUUUUCGGUUUGGGAUGGGCUCGCGGCCUAUCAGCUUGUUGGUGGGGUGAUGGCCUACCAAGGCGACGACGGGUAGCCGGCCUGAGAGGGCGACCGGCCACACUGGGACUGAGACACGGCCCAGACUCCUACGGGAGGCAGCAGUGGGGAAUAUUGCACAAUGGGCGGAAGCCUGAUGCAGCGACGCCGCGUGAGGGAUGACGGCCUUCGGGUUGCAAACCUCUUUCAGCAGGGACGAAGCGUAAGUGACGGUACCUGCAGAAGAAGCGCCGGCCAACUACGUG